AUACGGAGGGUGCGAGCGUUAAUCGGAAUUACUGGGCGUAAAGCGUACGUAGGCGGUUUGCUAAGUCAGAUGUGAAAGCCCCGGGCUUAACCUGGGAACUGCAUUUGAUACUGGCAGACUAGAGUAUGAUAGAGGGGGGUAGAAUUCCUGGUGUAGCGGUGAAAUGCGUAGAUAUCAGGGGGAAUACCAGUGGCGAAGGCGGCCCCCUGGAUCAAUACUGACGCUGAGGUACGAAAGCGUGGGGAGCGAACAGGAUUAGAUACCCUAGUAGUCC
rnacentral:rRNA from 1 species